CAACAAACUCCAUACCAAAUGAUACAAGUGUCACUUACAACAACAGGUUACUCAUAAGGAACUGCAAAUAUACUAGCUUAUUUUGGGAGGCAAGUUUACAGAUAAUCCCAAUCCCCCUUGCCAUAGGAAACUGAGCAUCUGCCAGACCUACCUAAUGUGAAUAAACACUUAUUUUCGCAUAAAGAUGAGUACACUAAUAGGAUACAUGGUACUUCUUGCUUGUUAAAAUUGAAAAUUACUGCAGGUCACUUGGACAUCUUGGCAGCAAGUUCUCUUACCAGCUUCGCAGCAACCAUUGCAGUCAUGCCAUCAGCAGUAUCACGCUGUGGGUUGUACUCAACGACAUCAGCACCAACGAUAUCACCUUGAAGGUUAUGCAGUAUGUUUAGAACAUCGCGGAACGAGAGACCGCCUGACUCAAAAUGAGAUACUCCAGGAGCAAAUGCUGGAUCCAAACAGUCAACAUCCACGGAUAUAUACACGCCCUUUACACCUUCACCAAGUUUCAGAUUCUCCAAAAAUUGUCUGUCUCUGGAAAAUGUUCGCAUUUCAUAUUGCUCCACACCAAACCUUUUUCCUUGUUCUCGACCUUCUAGAUUAAUUGAUCUAAUUCCAACUUGCAAAAGGCGUCGAGCAUAACCACCCUCCAUUAUUCGUGCAAAGCUUGAUGCAUGUGAGUAUUUGUUUCCUUCAAAGGCAUGAUAAAUGUCAGGAUGAGCAUCAAGGUGAAGGAUAUCAAUAGGCCCUCCAAGCUUUUCAGACACAGCUCUUACAACAGGAUAGGAUAUAGAGUGAUCACCCCCUAACACCAAGGGGCGCAAUGGAUUCUCUUCCAUAACUAGCUUGACAGAUUCGCUUAUGAUACUCAUUAACCUAUCAUCAUCUACACCUGCAUCUCGUAACUCUUGCACAGGCACAUCACCAACAUCAGUUAAGAUGCGUGGAUCAUCUAAUUCUUUUCCUUCCUCAGUUGUAGAGUUUGUACUGCCACACCACAUAGCCUCUCGUAUACGAGGAGGAGCAAAUGCUGGCCCCUGGAGAAAUGAAGAGUUAUGUCCCAGAGGAACUCCAAGAAGAGACGUUGAGGCUACAGCACCUCCAAGAGCACGAACAAGCUCUCCCUUAAGUUUUGCUCUUUCACGAAUAAGUGUAAGAGAUGCCUCUAUAACACGAUUCUGUCCUUUUUCCACCAAUUCUUUUGGAACAUUUGACGCGUGCAAUUUCUGCAUAUAAUGGAUUCCCAUUCUUCCAGCACUCCUCAUAUUUGUUUAUUCUGAUUAUCCUACAACUGCAAGAAAGAGUGAUGAGAGCAAAAAAAGAAGGCAAUCGCUGAGUUUAAAAAAGAAGAAGACAUGCAGUCGUUUUUAG
rnacentral:misc_RNA from 1 species